UACGUAGGGACCAAGCGUUGUUCGGAUUUACUGGGCGUAAAGGGCGCGUAGGCGGCGCGGUAAGUCACUUGUGAAAUCUCUGAGCUUAACUCAGAACGGCCAAGUGAUACUGCAGUGCUAGAGUGUGGAAGGGGCAAUCGGAAUUCUUGGUGUAGCGGUGAAAUGCGUAGAUAUCAAGAGGAACACCGAUGGCGAAGGCAGCCCCCUGGGGUAACACUGAUGCUCAUGCACGAAAGCGUGGGGAGCAAACAGG
rnacentral:rRNA from 1 species